rnacentral:rRNA from 1 species
AGUGAACGCUGGCGGUAGGCCUAACACAUGCAAGUCGAACGGCAGCACAGUAAGAGCUUGCUCUUACGGGUGGCGAGUGGCGGACGGGUGAGGAAUACAUCGGAAUCUACUUUUCGUGGGGGAUAACGGAGGGAAACUUACGCUAAUACCGCAUACGACCUACGGGUGAAAGGCGGGGAUCUUCGGACCUUGCGCGAUUGAAUGAGCCGAUGUCGGAUUAGCUAGUUGGCGGGGUAAAGGCCCACCAAGGCGACGAUCCGUAGCUGGUCUGAGAGGAUGAUCAGCCACACUGGAACUGAGACACGGUCCAGACUCCUACGGGAGGCAGCAGUGGGGAAUAUUGGACAAUGGGCGCAAGCCUGAUCCAGCCAUACCGCGUGGGUGAAGAAGGCCUUCGGGUUGUAAAGCCCUUUUGUUGGGAAAGAAAAGCAGCAGGUUAAUACCCCGCUGUUCUGACGGUACCCAAAGAAUAAGCACCGGCUAACUUCGUG